ACGGUUUCAUAGCCGCCGCGGAUUUCGUCUGGGCCAUUGAUAACGGUGCACCGCGUGCGCCGGUCGUGUUGUUUAUCUCCGAACGGAUAAACGUCAAACGUGUUUUAAAUAUUAACGGAAAAAGUAUUUUUUAUGGUCAGUGUUUGCGGUUGGGUUUUGGAGUUGGAAAAGUAACGUUCUUUCGGCUGUUCCCAAUGGGUAUACCUACUCUGCGACACUUUUGUUUACCGGCGUUGUGGAAGUUCUGUCGUCUCAUGAAGUCCACAAUUGAUUUUCCUGCGGCCGUCUAAAAAUCUCUGCGGUUAAGUAGUUAUUCAUUUUGAUGUUGAUUGACGGAUAGUUUGCUUUCUAAUGUUACCACUUGAUUUUUCUACUUUCGAUUCACCAAUUUGAGAAGACUGUUAAUCGGUGAUGCGAUACAAGCAAAAUAUUUUGACCGUUGGAAGCGACCAGUAUUGUGUCUAUUGAUUUCCAUGCCUGCCAAAAAAUGAUAAGAAUGUCAAAUUGGAUGCAAGAUCACUUUGUUGAUGUUACAAACUCAUUUAGCAAAUUAUAAAACUAAUAACUUAUUUACAUUUUUAACUGCCAAUUUUAAAAUAAUUGUAUGAUUGUUGAUGUAAAAUAUUUCAAGAUGCAUUUUCAAUACUUUUUUGUAAUGUAAUUCGAAUAUUACACUUUGGUUAGAUUAGAUUAACUUAUAAUUUGUGCUAUUUAU